GCUCAGUAACAGGUGGGUAACUGCCCUAUGGUGGGGAAUACCCUCGGAAACUAGGAUAAUGCCCCAUAGUUCACCACACUGGAACGGUGGGUGGAUGAAAGCUCCGGCGGCAUAGGAUGGGCCUGCGGCGUAUCAGGUUGUAGGGGGGUGUAAUGUACCCUCUAGCCAUCUACGCGUACGGGUGUUGAGAGACAUCGCCCGGAGAUGGAUUCUGAGACACGAAUCCAGACCCUACGGGGUGCAGCAGGCGCGAAAACUUGGCAAUGCGAGCAAUCGUGACCAGGGAACUCCAAGUGCAUCGGGUAAGACCGAUGCUUUUCUUGACUCUUCAAAGGUCUUGGAAUAAGGGGUGGGUAAGGACGGUGCCAGCCGCCGCGGUAAUACCGGCGCCUCAAGUGGUAGUCGCUUUUAUUGGGCCUAAAACGUCCGUAGCCGGUUUGGUACAUUCGUGGGUAAAUCAAGACGCUCAACGUCUUGAAUUCUGCGAGCACGGCCAGACUUGGGACCGGGUGAGGUGUGGGGUACUCUCAGGGUAGGGGUAAAAUCCUGUCAUCCUGAGAGGACCACCUGUUGCGAAGGCGCCACACUAGAACGGAUCCGACGGUCAGGGACGAAGCCUAAAACACGAACCGGAUUAGAUACCCGGGUAGUCCUAGGUGUAAACGCUGUGGACUUGAUGUUGGGAGUGCUCCGAGCACCAUCAGUGUCGAAGCGAAGGUGAUAAGUCCACUGCCUGGGGAGUACGGUCGCAAGGCUGAAACUUAAAGGAAUUGGCGGGGGAGCACUGCAACCUGAGGAUUGUGCGGUUUAAUUGGAUUCAACGCCGGAAAACUCACCAUAGCCGACGGACAUAAGAAGGCCAGCGUAACGAGCUUGCCGGAUUGUUCGAGAGGUAGUGCAUGGCCGUCGUCAGUUCGUNCCGCCGAAAAAUCGUUNAGUCNGNUNNCGNNCGAGACCCUCNUCCCUNGAUGAA
rnacentral:rRNA from 1 species